AUUGAACGCUGGCGGCAGGCCUAACACAUGCAAGUCGAGCGGAGCAGCGGACGGGUGAGUAAUGCCUAGGAAUCUGCCUGGUAGUGGGGGAUAACGUCAGGCAACGGGCGCUAAUACCGCAAAAUAUCAGCUGAACCUAGGUCGGAAUAGCCAGGUGGUGGGGUAAAGGCCUACCAAGGCGACGAUCAGGAAGUGGUCUGAGAGGAUGAUCAGUAACACUGCAACUGAGACACAGUCCAGACUCCUACGGGAGGCAGCAGUGGGGAAUAUUGGACAAUGGGGGAAAGCCUGAUCCAGCCAUGCCGCGUGUGUUAAGAAGGUCUUCGGAUUGUAAAGCACUUUAAGUUGGGAGGCGUUACCAACAGAAUAAGCACCGGCUAACUUCGUGCCAGCCGCCGCGGUAAUUC
rnacentral:rRNA from 1 species